GACGAACGCUGGCGGCGCGCUUAACACAUGCAAGUCGAGCGAGAACCAGGCCUUCGGGCCUGGGGAAAGCGGCGAACGGGUGAGUAACACGUGGGCAACCCACCCUUGGUACCGGGAUAGCCCGGGGAAACCCGGAUUAAUACCGGAUGGCCCAGCAGCUCUUCGGGGCGGCUGGAAAAGGUAGCUUCGGCCUCCGACCAAGGACGGGCCCGCGGCGGAUUAGCUUGUUGGUGAGGUAACGGCUCACCAAGGCGACGAUCCGUAGCUGGUCUGAGAGGACGAUCAGCCACACUGGGACUGAGACACGGCCCAGACUCCUACGGGAGGCAGCAGUGGGGAAUCUUGCGCAAUGGGCGAAAGCCUGACGCAGCGACGCCGCGUGGGGGAAGAAGGCUUUCGGGUUGUAAACCCCUUUCAGGAGGGACGAAGCCACUCGGGUGAAUAGCCCAGAGGGUGACGGUACCUCCAGAAGAAGCCCCGGCUAACUACGUGCCAGCCGCCGCCGUAAGAC
rnacentral:rRNA from 1 species